GCCCUUUUAGCUCAGGGGACAGAGCUGGACCCUUCUAAGGUCUGUAUUUGCGGGAGUUCGAAUCUCUCAAGGGGCG
rnacentral:tRNA from 1 species